rnacentral:rRNA from 1 species
AUUGAACGCUGGCGGCAUGCCUUACACAUGCAAGUCGAACGGCAGCGGGGGUAGCUUGCUACCUGCCGGCGAGUGGCGAACGGGUGAGUAAUACAUCGGAACGUGCCCUGUAGUGGGGGAUAACUAGUCGAAAGACUAGCUAAUACCGCAUACGACCUGAGGGUGAAAGUGGGGGACCGCAAGGCCUCAUGCUAUAGGAGCGGCCGAUGUCUGAUUAGCUAGUUGGUGGAGUAAAGGCCAACCAAGGCGACGAUCAGUAGCUGGUCUGAGAGGACGAUCAGCCACACUGGGACUGAGACACGGCCCAGACUCCUACGGGAGGCAGCAGUGGGGAAUUUUGGACAAUGGGGGCAACCCUGAUCCAGCAAUGCCGCGUGUGUGAAGAAGGCCUUCGGGUUGUAAAGCACUUUUGUCCGGAAAGAAAUCGCACUGGUUAAUACCUGGUGUGGAUGACGGUACCGGAAGAAUAAGGACCGGCUAACUACGUGCCAGCCGCCGCCGUAA